GCUCCUACGGGGCGCAGCAGUGGGGAAUAUUGCACAAUGGGGGAAACCCUGAUGCAGCAACGCCGCGUGAGUGAAGAAGUAUUUCGGUAUGUAAAGCUCUAUCAGCAGGGAAGAAGAUGACGGUACCUGAGUAAGAAGCCCCGGCUAACUACGUGCCAGCAGCCGAGGUGAUACGUAGGGGGCAAGCGUUAUCCGGAUUUACUGGGUUUAAAGGGUGCGUAGGCGGAAUGCCAAGUCAGCGGUAAAAUCGCGGGGCUCAACC
rnacentral:rRNA from 1 species